rnacentral:rRNA from 1 species
AGAACGAACGCUGGCGGCAGGCCUAACACAUGCAAGUCGAGCGCUGUAGCAAUACAGAGCGGCGCACGGGAGAGUAAUACGUGGGAACCUACCCUUUGGUUCGGAAUAACGUCGGGAAACUGACGCUAAUACCGAAUAAGCCCUUCGGGGGAAAGAUUUAUUGCCGAAGGAUGGGCCCAUGUUGGAUUAGCUAGUUGGUGAGGUAACGGCUCACCAAGGCUACGAUCCAUAGCUGGUCUGAGAGGAUGAUCAGCCUCACUGGGACUGAGACACGGCCCAGACUCCUACGGGAGGCAGCAGUGGGGAAUAUUGGACAAUGGGGGCAACCCUGACGCAGCAACGCCGCGUGGAGGAUGAAGUCCCUUGGGACGUAAACUCCUUUCGACCAGGACGAUAAUGACGGUACUGGUGGAAGAAGCACCGGCUAACUCUGUGCCAGCAGCCGC